rnacentral:rRNA from 1 species
UACGGAGGGGGCUAGCGUUGUUCGGAAUUACUGGGCGUAAAGCGCACGUAGGCGGCUUUGUAAGUCAGAGGUGAAAUCCCGGGGCUCAACCUCGGAACUGCCUUUGAGACUGCAUCGCUUGAAUCCAGGAGAGGUGAGUGGAAUUCCGAGUGUAGAGGUGAAAUUCGUAGAUAUUCGGAAGAACACCAGUGGCGAAGGCGGCUCACUGGACUGGUAUUGACGCUGAGGUGCGAAAGCGUGGGGAGCAAACAGG